CUCCGGUUGAUCCCGCCGGACCUGACUGCUAUCGGAUUGGUACUAAGCCAUGCGAGUCGUUGUAGCAAUACAAGGCGGACGGCUCAGUAACACGUAGUCAACCUAACCCGUGGACGUGGAUAACCUCGGGAAACUGAGAAUAAACCGCGAUAGAUCAUUAUGCCUGGAAUGGCUUAUGGUUCAAACAAUUUAUUGCCGUAGGAUGGGACUGCGGCCUAUCAGCUUGUUGGUGAGGUAAUGGCCCACCAAGGCUAUAACAGGUACGGGCUCUGAGAGGAGAAGCCCGGAGAUGGGUACUGAGACACGGACCCAGGCCCUAUGGGGCGCAGCAGGCGAGAAACCUUAGCAAUGUGCGAAAGCACGACUAGGUUAAUCCGAGUGAUUUCUGUUGAAGAAAUCUUUUGUCAGUCGUAAAACCACAGACGAAUAAGGGGUGGGCAAGUCUGGUGUCAGCCGCCGCGGUAAUACCAGCACCUCGAGUGGUCAGGAGGUUUAUUGGGCCUAAAGCAUCCGUAGCCGGCUACGCAAGUCUCCGGUUAAAUCCAGCUGCUCAACAGAUGGGCUGCCGGAGAUACUACAUAGCUAGGGAGCGGGAGAGGUAGACGGUAUUCUGUGGGUAGGGGUAAAAUCCACUGAUCCAUAGAGGACCACCAGUGGCGAAGGCGGUCUACCAGAACGCGUUCGACGGUGAGGGAUGAAAGCUGGGGGAGCAAACCGGAUUAGAUACCCGGGUAGUCCCAGCUGUAAACGAUGCAAACUCGGUGAUGCAUUGGCUUAUGGCCAAUGCAGUGCCGCAGGGAAGCCGUUAAGUUUGCCGCCUGGGAAGUACGGACGCAAGUCUGAAACUUAAGGGAAUUGGCGGGGGAGCA
rnacentral:rRNA from 1 species